rnacentral:rRNA from 1 species
AGAAGGGGAGCAAUCCCUGAGUAAAGCGGCGAACGGGUGCGUAACACGUAGGUAACCUACCUUCAAGUCUGGGACAACCCCGCGAAAGCGAGGCUAAUACCGGAUAAGACCACGACUCUCUCGAGAGUAGUGGUAAAAGAUGGCCUCUUCUUGAAAGCUAUCUCUUAAAGAUGGGCCUGCGCAGCAUUAGCUAGUUGGUAGGGUAAUGGCCUACCAAGGCUACGAUGCUUAGCUGAUCUUAGAGGAUGAUCAGCCACACUGGAACUGAAACACGGUCCAGACUCCUACGGGAGGCAGCAGUGGGGAAUAUUGCGCAAUGGGAGAAAUCCUGACGCAGCAACGCCGUGUGAGUGAUGAAGGCCUUCGGGUCGUAAAGCUCUGUCGGAGGGAAAGAAACUAUUUAUGGCUAAUAUCCAUAGAUAUUGACGGUACCCUCAAAGGAAGCACCGGCUAACUCCGUGCCAGCAGCCGCGGUAAUACGGAGGGUGCAAGCGUUGUUCGGAAUUACUGGGCGUAAAGCGCGUGUAGGCGGCUAUUUAUGUCAGGUGUGAAAGCCCUCGGCCUAACCGAGGAAGUGCGCCUGAAACUGAAUAGCUUGAGUCCAAGAGAGGAGGAUGGAAUUCCCAGUGUAGAGGUGAAAUUCGUAGAUAUUGGGAGGAACACCGGUGGCGAAAGCGGUUCUCUGGAUUGGUACUGACGCUGAGACGCGAAAGCGUGGGGAGCAAACAGGAUUAGAUACCCUGGUAGUCCACGCCGUAAACGAUGGAUAUUAGUUGUUGCGGGCUUAACCCUCGCAGUGACGACGCUAACGCAUUAAAUAUCCCGCCUG